AGAAUAACGACCGCAAAAAGUGAAUUGCACUGUUUUAUGAUGAACGCGGCAUAUUUGGCUCUGCGAGGUUUCAAGGCAUUGAAGAAUUUUCUUCAUCGGGCGAGAUUACGAUCUCGACGCCCGUGUAAUUGCUGUAACCGUUGCUAGCCGCUUGUCCAGCAACAGUUUCUGCUCUCUGUAACUUCAUCGCCGACUCUACGACCGUGUAAUCAUCACCUCAAACCACAAAACACGCGAAACGUUCGAAUGGACAAUAUAGGUGGUUGAAGAUUUCUUUUGGAGAAGACAUCUUCGAGAAUCAGAGAAAAUGAUCGACCAUCGCUUGCUUUUUCUACUCAUCGUACUUCUUUGGAUUCAUACUGAAAUGAAAAAUAUAAAUAAUCUCCAAUUGGAAAUCAAAAGAGCCGUCUGACAGGAUACAGUAUCGCCGAAACGGGCAAUCGGAAGUAUACGCGUGAUCCUCGAAUACCGAGAACGAUUUCAGAUUUGCAUCUACGUGCUUUCAUAGCCGAUCACCAAAAACAUAUACCAGGAUUGUCGAGAGCGGCUCAUGCACUACUUGUUUUUGUACGCGCUUCAUUCAGUUUCACCUCUCAGAAUGUCGAUCACUCUUUGAAACUUCAGGAAGUAAACUGACUAAUAGGCUCUUUAUAGACUUGCCGUUAGCUCUUUGAGUUCUCUCAAAACUGAAAAUAUGUGGUGAAAGCUUACUCAGCCAAAGGAAGCCUGCAUAGCACCCGAGUAUGCUUCAGAAGAUCAGGUUCCUUUGUUGAAAAAUACUGCACAAAAUGUUUGACCACUCUCAGAAUCCUAGUCGACUAUAUUAAAUUUUUGAGUCGCAACAAUUACUGUUAUAAGAAUGAAACGUAUCCCUGACCUUUCUCUGCAAGUUCAUACAACGACAACGUAGUAAGAGUCGCAAACAACGUUAAUUAAGGUAUCAGGUGCGUGAAUUUCUCUUGACCCCGGGUACUUAGCUCCUAUGAAACGUAAAGGAAGGUUUAAAUGAUGAUUAUGGAUAGUUCGUAUAUGGUACGGUAUCGUUUUAACCGUGACACGACUGUCUCGCAGAGGAGGCUCAUAACCGUUUCAACCCGAGAUAAGGGCACAUCUAAGUAAAGCAGAGAGGCGGUACGGCAUCUCCGCCUCUUCAUGAUUUACCGCGAAGCGGAAGGACCGUCGGGUCGUGAUGUUGGAUUGACCUUCUGGUCUCUCAGGACCCUGCUGCUUUGAUCCAGGAUUUCCAGACAUGCAGAGCGUCUAGGAAACUCUGCGUGGGUAUCAUCUUCUUGUUACAGUUAUGUUUUCAGUACUGUGCGAAUUUAGCCGAGGUCGUUGCCACCAAGUAAGCGGUGCAAUUUUCUUGUUAAAGCAAAGGUUGCAAGGAUCGUGUCUAGAGGAACGUUAAUUGGGUGACUCUUUGAAGGACUAUGUAGAGGAAAAAGUGUCAUGGUUAAUCUUCUAGUCCUAUAUUUAUUACUGCACUAUUGGUAU